rnacentral:rRNA from 1 species
CCUACGGGAGGCAGCAGUGAGGAAUAUUUGUCAAUGGCCGGAAGGCUGAACCAGCCAUGCCGCGUGAAGGUCAGUGCCCUAUGGGCGUUAAACUUCUUUUGUGCGGGAGCAAUAAUGGUCACGUGUGGCCAGACGAGAGUGCCGUACGAAUAAGCAUCGGCUAACUCCGUGCCAGCAGCCGCGGUAAUACGGGGGAUGCAAGCGUUAUCCGGAUUUAUUGGGUUUAAAGGGUGCGUAGGCUGGGAGGUAAGUCAGCGGUGAAAUGCCCCCGCUCAACGGGGUGAAGUGCCAUUGAUACUGCCUGGCUGGAAUGCGGAUGCGGUGGGAGGAAUGUGUGGUGUAGCGGUGAAAUGCAUAGAUAUCACACAGAACACCGAUUGCGAAGGCAUCUCACGAAUCCGCGAUUGACGCUGAUGCACGAAAGCGUGGGUAUCAAACAGGAUUAGAUACCCUUGUAGUC